CUCGGAACAGUCGCGUGGUAGGAAGGAGACGCGAUGGAGUCAGAUGUCUUCCUCUUUUGUGAGUGUUUUUGUGUCCCUCCGUCACUCCUACAGCAGACAAGAGCUGCCUGGUUCCACAGAUUUCAAUAUUAAGCAUCUCUUGAACUCCUGAGUGCUUUUAAUACGUAAGGCAUCUAAACGUACAAGGGACAGCCCCAUCCUGUAACUGUCAAGGUUGAGGAAUUGUUGUGUGGCUUAAAGGGUCGAUGCUGAAGUUAACCAAGUAAACAGCAAGGAAAGAGGCAAAGGAAAUCUAAUAUAUAAAGCUACCCCUGUAGCGGGAGGUGGAAGACCCUUGGUUUGAGAGACGUCGACUGAAGUAAAGUGAAGCAGCUGGUCGGUGAGUGAGAGAGCUCAGUUGUCACUUGGAAGUCAGCCUGUGGCGAGAAGAACAGGAGGUUGGCAUGAAAUGGCCAUCAGCCUGGGAGUUGUUAGUUGUGAUUUGUCAGCUGGCAAGAGUUCUGCUCGGGCGAAUGUGACAGAAGGACCUGAGUGUAGGAAGCUGAAGAAUCUCCUUCGGUAUGAAAGUUGCCAGAUAACGGCUAGUGGAGACUGUAAUUAACUGAGGACGCUAGUCUCUGUGCGCCAGUGAUCUGUAAAUGUAGCUCCGUGUUAUG